GCCAUGUCCCUAAGGAUGUUCCCAGACCAAGCUAGUCUCAGAUUCUGGGCCCUUUCUUACUCCAGGCAAAUUAUGUAUUAAGUGUUUGCUGAAUUGUUUAGUGUUUGUCUCCUCAACUAGACGAAGCUUCCAGAAAGCAAUGACUAUGUCUAUCAGAUUCACACUGUGCCCCCAGCACCUAUACAGAGUGUAGUAUGCACAUACUUUCUUUUAUUGUGCUUCACAGAUACUGCUUUUUUUUUUUUAAAUUGAAGGUUUGUGGCAACCCUUUAUCAAGCAAGUCUGUUGGCACAAUUUUUCCAGCAGCAUCUCUGUGUUGUAUAUUGGGAAUUCUUGCAAUAUUUCAAACUUUUUCAUUGUUAUUAUAUCUCAUGGUGGUCUGUGAUGGGUAAUCUUUGAUGUUACUAUUGUAAUUAUUUUGGUAAGCUACAAACCAUGCCCACAAACAUGGGCAUGAUAGCAAACUUAACAAAUAUUGUAUGUGUGCUGACUGCUCUACCAACCCAUCAGUUUCUGUCUCUCUCCCUGUCAUCAGGCCUUCCUAAUUUUUGAGACAUGACAAUUUUGAAAUGAAGUUAACUCAUAACCUUAUGGCCUCUAAUCUAAGUGCUAAAGUGAAGAAUUGCAUGUCUCUCACUUUAAAUCAAAAGCUAGAAAUGAGUAAGCCUAGUGAGGGAAGGCAUGUUGAAAGCCUGGAUAGGCUGAGAGCUAGGCCUCUUGUGCCAAACAGCCAAGAUGUGAAUGCAGAGGAAACGUUCUUAAAGGAAGCAAAAAGUGCUACCCUGAUGAACACACAAAUGAUAAGAAAGUGAAACAGCCUGAAUGCUGAUACGGAGAAGGUCUGAGUGGUCUGGAUAGAAGAUCAAACCAGCCGCACAUUCUCUUAAGCCAAAGCUUAAUCCAGAACAAGGCCCCUAACUCUCUCCAAUUUUAUGAAGGCUGAGAGGUGAGGGAGCUGCAGAAAAAAAAGUUUGGAACUAGCAGAAGAUGGUCAUGAGGUUCAAGGAAAGAAGCUGUCUCCAUAACAUAAAAGCACAAGGUGAAGCAGCAAGUGCUGAUGGGGAAGCUGCAGCAAGUUACCCAGAAGACCUUGCCAAAGUAAUUGAUGAAGGUGACUACACUAAAUAACAGAUUUUCAAUGGAGUUAAAACAGCCUUCUAUUGAAAGAAGACACUAUCUAGGACGUUGAUAGCCAGAGAGCCAAAGUCAGUGCCUGGCUUCGAAGGACAGGUUGAAUCUCUUGUUAGGGGUUAAUGCAGCUGAGUCAUUGCAGUCAUUGACUUGGAGUUGAAGCCGGUGUUCAUUUGCCAUUCUGAAAAUGCUAAGGCCCUUAAGAAUUAUGCUAAAUCUACUCUUUGUGCGCUCUCUCAGUAGAACAACAAAGCCUGGGUGACAGCGUGUCUGUUUAUAGCAUGGUAUACUGACUAUUUUAAGCCCACUGUUGAGACCUACUGCUCAGAAAAAAAGUUUUCUUUCAAAAUAUUACUGCUCAUUGACAAUGUACCAAGUCACCCAACAGCUCUCAUAGAGAUGUACAAGAAGGUUAACGUUGUUUUCAUGCCUGCCAUCACAACAUCCAUUUUUGCAGCCCUUGGAUCAAAGAAUAAUUUUGACUUUCAAGUCUUAUUACUUAAGAAAUAUAUUUUGUAAAGUUAUGGCUGCCAUAGACAGUGAUUCCUCUGAUGGAGAUGGGCAAAGAAAAUUGAAAACCUUCUGGAAAAGAGUCACCAUUGUAGAUGCCAUUAAUAAUGUUUGUGAUCCACAGAAGGAGGUUGGUGUGCCAAACCCCUAUUGACUCCAGUGGGGAUGGCACCAGGUUCAAGAGGCUGAAGAAGAGACCCAGAGCCAGCGAAUGAGACAUAGGUUUUACCGGGAACUUACACACGGAUGAGAGAGUCCAGUGGUGGCAGGCUGGGCAAAAGCACCACCACCAUUUGCAGAACGAAUGCAAUUUAAAUAACAUUUUUACUUAACACACUCCGCCUAGCAAUCUCCACCUGGCAAACCUCAUUUAACCCAAAACAAUGAGCCUUGAUCCCCUAUGUGGCCCAUGUUCCACAGGAUGUGUCUGGGGCUCAGUUGUCAUAGACAAGGAAUGGGUCUCUGAGUUGACCACUUCUGGAUUCCUUAGCUCAUACUUCUGAAUACACAUUCAGGUGCCUCUGCCAUACAGGGUCAUUCUCAGGUAAACUCAAGUCACAUUGUCACUGUCAGGUGCGUCUACCAUACAAAACUCAAAAUAUCAACAUUAACAGGAGUUUGGAAGCAUUGAUUCCAACCUUCACCAAUGACUUUGAGGGGUUUAAGACUUCAGUAGAGGAAGUAACUGCAGAUGUGCCGGAAAUGGCAGAGAACUAGAAUUAGAAAUAGAGCCUGAAGGUGUGACUGAAUUGCUGCAAUUCCAUUAUAAAACUUGAACAGAUGAGUUUCUUCUUAUGGAUGAACAAAGUAAGUGGUUUCUUAAGAUGGAAUCUAUUCAUGGUGAAGAUGCCGUGAACGUUGUUGAAAU